GGCUAUACAUGCAGUCGAGCGGACCUUUUAAAGCUUGCUUUUGAAAGGUCAGCGGCGGACGGGUGAGUAACACGUGGGCAACCUGCCUGUAAGACUGGGAUAACUUCGGGAAACCGGAGCUAAUACCGGAUAAUAUAAAGAACCUCCUGGUUCUUUAUUGAAAGAUGGUUUCGGCUAUCACUUACAGAUGGGCCCGCGGCGCAUUAGCUAGUUGGUGAGGUAACGGCUCACCAAGGCGACGAUGCGUAGCCGACCUGAGAGGGUGAUCGGCCACACUGGGACUGAGACACGGCCCAGACUCCUACGGGAGGCAGCAGUAGGGAAUCUUCCACAAUGGACGAAAGUCUGAUGGAGCAACGCCGCGUGAGCGAUGAAGGCCUUCGGGUCGUAAAGCUCUGUUGUUAGGGAAGAACAAGUGCGAGAGUAACUGCUCGCACCUUGACGGUACCUAACCAGAAAGCCACGGCUAACUACGUGCCAGCAGCCGCGGUAAUACGUAGGUGGCAAGCGUUGUCCGGAAUUAUUGGGCGUAAAGCGCGCGCAGGUGGUCCUUUAAGUCUGAUGUGAAAGCCCACGGCUCAACCGUGGAGGGUCAUUGGAAACUGGGGGACUUGAGUGCAGAAGAGGAAAGUGGAAUUCCAAGUGUAGCGGUGAAAUGCGUAGAGAUUUGGAGGAACACCAGUGGCGAAGGCGACUUUCUGGUCUGUAACUGACACUGAGGCGCGAAAGCGUGGGGAGCAAACAGGAUUAG
rnacentral:rRNA from 1 species